ensembl:snRNA LOC120094559 U6 spliceosomal RNA
GUGCUCACUUCGGCAGCACAUACGCUAAAAUUGGGACAACACAGAGAAGAUUAGCACGGCCCCUGCAUAAGGAUGACACGCAAAUUCGUGGACCGUUUUACAUUUUU